rnacentral:rRNA from 1 species
UGGGGAAUUUUGGACAAUGGGCGAAAGCCUGAUCCAGCCAUGCCGCGUGAGUGAAGAAGGCCUUCGGGUUGUAAAGCUCUUUUAGUCGGAAAGAAAAGAUCAUAAUGAACAAUUAUGAUUCAUGACGGUACCGACAGAAAAAAGCACCGGCUAACUACGUGCCAGCAGCCGCGGUAAUACGUAGGGUGCGAGCGUUAAUCGGAAUUACCGGGCGUAAAGGGUGCCCAGGCGGUUUUGUAAGUCAGAUGUGAAAUCCCCGGGCUUAACCUGGGAAUUGCGUUUGAAACUGCAAGACUAGAGUGCAGCAGAGGGGAGUGGAAUUCCAUGUGUAGCAGUGAAAUGCGUAGAGAUGUGGAAGAACACCGAUGGCGAAGGCAGCUCCCUGGGUUGACACUGACGCUCAUGCACGAAAGCGUGGGGAGCAAACA